AAACGUCCCACGGUUCCUUCGAAUUCGUAGCACGCGCUCGAACCGCCUCGAGUCUUUUUAUAUCCAUUACUAUUAUUCAACGAUGUAUACAGGUGUCGCAGCCUUCCUUAUCCACUCGGCUGUGCGCACCGACACGCGCGUAAUUACACGCGACAAUGAUAAAACGAACAGUGUGACGCAUUCUCGUGAACGCUAGUGUAUCACGUUUUAUCCUCUCGGGCCUGAAACGAAGAAACGGACAAGCGAUACGAAUGCGCCGGGGAAAGCUGCAACAAGCUUUAAACAUUCGAACGAUUUAUAAAUACGACCGAAUAAAUCCCCGAGCCUGGUCCUCGAAACUGAGGUUCGUAGAGUUUCUUGUUCAAGAGUGCCCCAGGCGGACGUCUCUCGAUCGCAGUCGUCGAUGGGUGACAUUUCUGUAAAACAGACGCAUUCUAAGGGUAUGCAAAUCGAAUUUUACGAGAAAGGAGGGAAACGAAUUAGAUUUCUCCUCCUCUUCUCCUCUCUCUCUCUUUUUUUUUUUUAUCUAACACAAUCGUCUUUCCUUCGAUUAAAAAGUUUCAUCGCUCAGAUUCGUUACAGAACAAUGGCCGAGACACGAUUAAAUUCUCGCCAACACGUGAAUUCGAUGUAUCAAAAAGAUACAUCUCUCUAGUUUCCCCUCCGUUCUCGAAAUGGGUCAGGCAACUUUACAUAAGCUCGAUAAGUCGAGGAACCUAACUCAUUGUCGCGUUAAAAAUUUCAGUGAACACGGUGAACAGAUAGAAUUCAUCUCGGAAAUAAGGUCGUGUUCUCGAAUAAUAAUAAAUCCGGCGUAAUAAAACACUCGGGCGAUUCGGUUCCCUCAGCUUCUUCAAAAAGGAGCAAAGACGGUAACACGAAAUCCUGUUUCUUCCACGUGAAACGUUCCGGCUCUGAAAAUAGAAAUUACGAACUAGAGACACGAUUUGAUUUUUUACAAUGACUCACAAAAUUACUCCGUC